CAUGUUUGGAAUUCUUAUAUACUGCCGGUAUUUUUAUCAUAGCAAUACGAUACACUCAAGAUAUAAUAACAAAAAUAAAACAACUUUGAGUGUGUUUUAAGUUGGGUAAAAAGUUUCACUCAAACUAUCUACAUAUAGAUUUUUCACUCUGUACUGUAUUUUGAACUUAGACAGAACCAGAAGCAGAAGCAGCAGAUGAUAUCGUUGAAGGGUAUGGUUGGGGGCAGAAGUAAAAGCAGCAGGAGGUGAACAUGGACAGACACCCACACUUAUUUUUAUAUUUUUUUGUAUGAUAUGAAAGCUUUUUAGGAUUUUUCAAUUUUUAACAACAACAACGUCAAAAAAGAGGAAAAAUGAAACUGGGACGAAAGUUAAAGGAAGGAAAUUAAAAUAUAAUCCCUCCUUUCAAAUGUAUCUUGUUUUUGGUGUGCUGCCUUUGCCUAUGCAGAGGAAGACAGAAUGUCAUUGAUUGCAACCAACAUUGACAACAAAACGACUACGAAAAACAUAGGUACAAUAUCUAUCAUAAAAAAGAGGAUAAAUUUAUAGGGGAUCUAAGUACCUAUUGAAAUGCUUUUUCAAGUUCAACAUGUUCUUACAAUUCAAUACUAAAAUUCAACAAAAGUACGUAUCUACCUACCUCAUAUGUACCUACGGAUGGGUCAAGUAGGUAGGUAUACUUACUACUUAGGCACCAUAAGUAAACUACUUUUUUUUUAAUGAAAAUGAGGUUCCCAUUCACCAAAUAAUUAGGAAUAACGUAUGAAGGACUUUUUUGGACUGCGCCUGGAGGCAGGAAUAGAAACAGGAUCAAUCAUUCUUCGACUUGGAAAGUAAAGCUGAAUAAUACACACAUAGCAAUCC